CUCAUAUGCUCAAAAUCUAAAGCCCAAAAAUUUUCUAAUGGCCAUUAUGAUUGCGAAGCCUAGCUUAUUAGUUACAAAUUUCGGCCUGCAUAUCUGAAAGAUCAGAAGCCCAAUACUGUUCUUAAGCCCAAAAUCUCGCCGACCAUACAUUAGGGUUUCUUCUGUACUCCCUAUAAAUACUCUCAACGCCUCUAACCUCAAAGAACCUCUCUAGAAAAUUGCUUUCUCGGCAGCCUUGUCUGGACAACUAGGGUUUUGAAGCGAACUUAGCCACCGCAUCACCAUCACCAUGAGAGCCAAGUGGAAGAAGAAGCGUAUGAGGAGGUUGAAGAGGAAGCGCCGAAAGAUGAGACAGAGAUCCAAGUAGAUUUAUUAUUAUCAUUAUUAUUAUUAAGUCGGUGUCGUUUUGUUUUCUAAUCGGAUGUUGAUUAGAGUCUUUAGUGUCUUUUUGUUUUCCUAUGUUUGGAUAAAUUUCUAAGAAAUGGAUUUUUGUACUGUUUAAUGAGAUUUUUCGUAUUUAACUUUUAA